rnacentral:hammerhead_ribozyme from 1 species
GUACUGCUGAGGAGUCCCACAAUAGGAUGAAACAGCCGUCUAGUGU